UACGGGGGGGGGCAAGCGUUGUUCGGAAUUACUGGGCGUAAAGGGCUCGUAGGCGGCCAACUAAGUCAUACGUGAAAUCCCCCGGCUUAACCGGGGAACUGCGUCUGAUACUGGAUGGCUUGAGUUCGGGAGAGGGAUGCGGAAUUCCAGGUGUAGCGGUGAAAUGCGUAGAUAUCUGGGAGGAACACCGGUGGCGAAGGCGGCAUCCUGGACCGAUACUGACGCUGAGGAGCGAAAGCCAGGGGAGCAAACGGG
rnacentral:rRNA from 1 species